GUUCAAAUGAGGAAGGGAUUACAGUGGAUACCUAGGCACCCAGAGACGAGGAAGGGUGUGGUAAGUGACGAAAUUCUUCAGGGAGUUGAAAAUGAGCAUAGAUCCAGAGAUUCUCGAAUAGGUUAACCUUUUUAACUGCUGUUGAAUCCAUGGGUAGGCAAGAGACAACCUGGAGAACUAAAACAUCUUAGUAGCCAGAGGAAUAGAAAGAAAAAGUGAUUCCCAUAGUAGCGGUGAGCGAAAUGGGAGCAGCCUAAACCAUGAAAAUGGGGUUGUGGGAGAGCACAAUAUAAGCUCUGUGCUGCUAUG
rnacentral:ncRNA from 1 species